rnacentral:rRNA from 1 species
GACGAACGCUGGCGGCGUGCUUAACACAUGCCAGUCGAACGGAAAGGCCCUGCUUGCAGGGUACUCGAGUGGCGAACGGGUGAGUAACACGUGGGUGAUCUGCCCUGCACUUCGGGAUAAGCCUGGGAAACUGGGUCUAAUACCGGAUAGAAGCCAUUUUUAGUGUGAUGGUUGGAAAGUUUUUUCGGUGUAGGAUGAGCUCGCGGCCUAUCAGCUUGUUGGUGGGGUAAUGGCCUACCAAGGCGGCGACGGGUAGCCGGCCUGAGAGGGUGGACGGCCACAUGGGGACUGAGAUACGGCCCAGACCCCUACGGGAGGCAACAGGGGGGAAUAUUGCACAAUGGGCCGAAGCCUGAUGCAGCGACGCCGCGGGGGGGAUGACGGCCUUCGGGUUGUAAACCCCUUUCGCUGGGGACGAAGCUUUUUGUGACGGUACCUAGAAAAGAAGCCCCGGCUAACUCCGU